GACGAACGCUGGCGGCGUGCCUAACACAUGCAAGUGGAGCGACGAACCAGGCUUCGGCCUGGGGCAAAGCCGCGAACGGGUGAGUAACACGUGGGUAAUCUGCCCUGAAGAUUGGGACAACCCCGGGAAACCGGGGCUAAUACCAAAUGUGCUCCCACCACAUCCGGGGUGUGAGGAAAGGAAGCUUCGGCCUCCGCCUCGGGAUGAGCCCGCGGCCCAUUAGCUUGUUGGGGGGGUAAUGGCCUACCAAGGCUGCGAUGGGUAGCUGGUCUGAGAGGACGAUCAGCCACACUGGGACUGAGACACGGCCCAGACUCCUACGGGAGGCAGCAGUGGGGAAUCUUGCGCAAUGCGCGAAAGCGUGACGCAGCAACGCCGCGUGCGGGAAAAAGGCCUUCGGGUUGUAAACCGCUUUCAGUUGGGACGAAGCUUCACUCGGUGAAUAGCCGGGUGGAGUGACGGUACCUUCAGAAGAAGCCCCGGCUAACUACGUGCCAGCAGCCGCCGUAA
rnacentral:rRNA from 1 species